GCCUCAACUCCCCUCCCCCUUCAUAGGAGCCAGACCUUGCCCCUUAUAGCCCGCUAGGCAGGUGUAACCCAUUAACCCCCUUUUUGUUGCCUUGGCGACCAGCACCUGACAAGCCUUCCUGGCUCUCGCAGUAGCAGGCACCUUAGUGUCCUGCUACACAGACCAAGCCCUAUGAGGAGAGACUGGGGCACCUGGACCUCUUCAGCCUCCGCAAGAGAAGGUUGAGAGGCGACCUUGUGGCUGCCUAUAAGUUCAUCACGGGGGCACAGAAGGGAAUUGGGGGCAGACAUGGAGGAGAUUCAGCAGCACGAGCUGGAUGCCAAGUCUACCAAAACAAGACCAGGGACCAUGACAGAACUCAAGCAGUCCGUAUCAGAACCGCCUAUGGAGAGCGUGGACAACUGUCUCAAGAGACUCUGCUGAGGAAGAUGACGCCUUCAUAGAGAUCUUUCAAAACCUGCACAUUGGCACCCUGCCGAAAGUAAAGGUCUUUUGCGUGAACUGUUUUUGUUCGUGUCCAAAAGAGAGCAGUUCGAGACCAAGACUGAUGCAACAUUUUUGUCCAAAGACAAUGACUGUUAACCCUGGCUUUGAGCCUGUGGAGAUUGCUGAGCAGGGCUACGAGCCCAUGGAGGUCACCGAGCAGGGGUGUAUUCGGGGGCUAUUUUCAAAUAAAAUGUAUCCCACCUCCCUGUUCAGAAGAAGGUUUCUUGCAUGACCUGGUUUUGAACAACAGUUCAAGAUGAGGCUGAAGACCUCGUUAAUGUUGUAUUUCUUACCUGCUUAAUAAAUCUUGCUUUACCAUGGUU